rnacentral:rRNA from 1 species
GUGAUAGAUGAACUCCUGGAUGAAUUACAUGGUGCUCAAUGGUUUACAAAACUGGAUCUCAUAGCUGGAUAUCAUCAAAUUAGAUUAGCUCCUGGAGAAGAGUACAAGACAUCAUUUCAAACCCAUCAUGGGCAUUUUGAAUUCCUGGUUGGUUUUGGGUUGACAAGGGCACCAAACACCUUCCAAGGUGCCAUCAAUGUUUCCUUAUCACAAGAGCCUGAAAUGCCGAGGACCUUUGUACUAGCCUUCUUUGAUGAUAUUUUGAUUUUCAGUAAAACACUGAAACAACACUUAGAACAUGUCAGGAGGGUUUUGGAACUGCUUAGAAAGGACAAGUGGUAUGUGAAAUUUUCCAAAUGUGACACUACAAGA